UGGAAAUCAACAUCAUAUGUGAAGAUAAUUUCCUUGUUCUCUUCAACCUCUUGAGGAGUGUUAGAGUUGAUAACGGUGUGUUUAGCAUGAGGGUCACAGGUUGUCAAACGAGUCUUCUUUUCAAACCAUUGACCUUGUUCAUAUUCGUGUUUGACACUGCACAUCAAAACUCAGAUUUGAGAAUUCACUAUUAGAUAGUAAAUACAACAAAAAGAUGAACCAAUUAUAAAAGACAACCCCAUGCACAAGACUCCUACAAUCAUAGAAAAUAAAAUGGAAUAAAUUAACACAGCAUUUGUAGCAUAAAAUAAUGACCUGAAUGGCUUGACCUCAAAACCCACGAUUCUAGAGGAUUCAGUUUGCACAUCUCUAUGAUACUUGACAGUAAAUGCCAAAUGGUUGUGAAUAAAAAACUUUUCCUCCUUGCUCUGUGCAUCCAGAUAAAGUAAGUAAAGGCACUACUUGGCAUUCAUAACAAUAGCAAUGGAGCUAAAAAAUAGUAAUCAUACCCCACUAUACUGGCCUUUGAGUCCAACAUGGAAACCAAGCUGAUAAACAGUAGAAUCCUGAUCAUUCCGUUUUAUGGGAACAACUAGAGGAAGGUUAUCUAGGAUCCUGUGAAUUAGAGGCAGAACCGUUAUAAGAUACAACACAUCGAGGUUGUGGCAGAAAAUAAUAGAUUAACAAUGUAACAUACAUGUUCACCCGAUACUCAUCAUUGAUCUUCUCUUUGAACGCUUUUGCAGUUUUAGCAUCAAGCUUAAUCUUACACACAAUAUUGCACAUUUCUGGCUCGCGCAUUUUGAACUGCAGAAUAUCAUGGAAUAAGGAUCAGUUAAUAACCAUAAAUAUUAAGAGAUGUUAAAAAAUGUUUAAGAGAGUGCUAAACAAAAUUAGGUUAAAACAACCACUCAUGUAGUUAAUCAAGUUAAGUGAUUACUCAUUAACAACUCUUCAAACAUGGUUAAUCAAUUCAGUGGCUAGUUGUUACUAAACUGAAAAUAUUUCACCAAGAAUCCUAUCUUGUAAUUUACCUAAAAUUAAUUAGCCACGAAUUAAUAUGUAAUACUGACCACAUAACGAGAAUUUUCAAUGCGGUCCCCACGAAGCACUUCCCCAAGAUUUUCUGCACUGUCCUGAAUUUUUUUGGGGGCACAAUAAGGAAGUGAAUAAUAUGAGUAUGGCAGCUGGGUCUUUAUUGAUGUUAAUUUGUUUACUUUCACUUGCAAUGGAUCUCCCUGCACCAAAGAAAUAUGUAAAAACUAAAACGUCAGUUAAUGACUUAAGAAGUGGAUCUGUAAUAAAAUCUGAGCAUUAUUCACCUUGGCCAGAUUGAGAGCAUGACAAAAACAAAUAUCCUAUUUGAAACAAUGUAUGGCAAUUGAAUACCAAACUGUCUUAUAUGCAUAGUGAAUACUUUAAAAGGGGCUACAAGCGGUCAAAUAUUUUUUUCUAUCAUUCAUAAGUGCCACAGUAGCUGGUACGACGUAAAGUUAUAGGAUGCAAGAAUUUAAUCGUGAAGGCAAUCUGAUGACAUCCUUUUUAUUUAUAAAUAACCUUAAAAAGCAGAAGACUAGAGGUAUAGAAAUAAAUGGGUCAGUAAACAAAAGUAAAAUGAAAAGCAGAAGACAAGGAGGAUGAAGCCAAAAAGUUUAUGAUACAAUUCACAGUAAUGGAUGGAUCAGUGAAACAACAGAUCGUCUUGAAAACCAAUAAACGAGCGAAAGGAACUAGACGGUUGCGGUUAGUGUCACAUUCCUUUCUUUCAUUCAUCGAUUUUCAAGACCAUCCGUUGUCUCCGAUUCCACUAUCACGAAUCAAAUCAGCUUCUUCUGUGAAGUUUCAAUUGCAUGCAUCAAAUGGUACUACAGCUAAAUAUUAAAAAAUCAACUUCUCAAUCCAAAGAAAAGCAAUAAAAUAGAAGGUACUAGAGCGAUCCGCUAAGUUAUACUUAUACACCCUAGUUUCCAGUCCAAUCCUCCAACAUUUUAUAAAGAUACAUAGCCAAGUUUCACAUCAAACAACACCAAAAACUGUUUCUAGUUAAUUUCAACCAACAUCAGCAAUGCUGAGACUGAUAAAUGCAAGAUAAGUAAUAGAAAUCAAAACCAAGUGAAUCGAUCCACUGAAAUUAAGACUCAACAUUUCACACAGUUUCCUGAUCCUCUUCCAACAAUUAGAAAAUCAAUGAUAAACUAAACAAACUGGAAAACCUAGAAUCAUCAAUCACAUCACGUUACGUGCAAUCCAACACAGAUCUGAAUCCUCAGAUUCAAUCAAUCACAGAUGAAGGAAACAAGUCGGCGUUACCUUCACAAAGUCCUGUGGAGCGACGCCGGGGAGGUAGAAGCAGUGAGCACCAUGAAUGAGAAGAAGAAGAACUGCGGAGAAAGCGAGAGAUCUCAAAAACGCCAUGGCGUUCGAGAUCGAGAUCGGGAUGUUGAUUUUCUUUGUCGGUGUGGUUUUGUUGAGUUGUGAGCGAUGGCAGGUGAAGAAUCGUAGUCGCGAUCUGAUGGUUGUUGAUUUUCUUCUUCUCCGGUGCAAAUUGGGAUUGUCACCACUACUGUCUUAAACUUAUACCUGAUGUUAAGUGCUUCCGGUUAAAACGCGCUUUUCAUUUUUCUUCACCUUAUUUCCUAUUUUGAUAUUUUCAUUUUCACUUCACUACUACUCUUUUCUUUCUUUUGUUUUUUUAUUAUGUUUUCUAUUUUCAUUUUAGAAAUUUGAGAUUCUUACCUCAUUAGUGAAGGUAUAAUUAUAAAGUAAGGCUUGAUUUCCGCAAACUCAAAGCAGCUAAGCAAUUUGUAUAAAAGUUUGUUUAAUGACAAACGUGCUUGAGAGAGACAUUAUGUGAGCGAAUGACGAUGAAGAUAACCUCAUUCAAAAUGUUAUUAUACAAGGGAAAUAACAUGGUUGAGAGCAAAUGAAUGACAUCCAAUGAAUCACUCUAAAAAAUCAUUUGAUGAUAUUCUAAGCUCCAAGCCAAUAGCAAAUCAUGCUUCGAAACUAAAAUCUCAGCAUGGAGAGGACAACUACUAUGAAAGAAAGCUAAAAAAACCUAACAUGGUGCCCACUCGGAAGGAGUCACGAAUGAUCAGACUGACACUCAUCAAGUUACUACUUUUGCGAAAUUAACAUUUCUCAUCCAGCUUAACAAAAGAGUCAUAGGAACAAUUAUGACGAGUAAGUUGAUCGUGAAGAGGAACGAGAUGACUAUAUCUAGAAAAAUGUCGCAAUGCUUCACUAUCAUGGUGCCCCACUCGGAAGGAGUCACGAAUGAUCAGACUGACACUCAUCAAGUUACUACUUUUGCGAAAUCAACAUUUCUCAUCCAGCUUAACAAAAGAGUCAUAGGAACAAUUAUGACGAGUAAGUUGAUCGUGAAGAGGAACGAGAUGACUAUAUCUAGAAAAAUGUCGCAAUGCUUCACUAAAUGAUUGAGAGAUUUAAAUUACAAGAGCUAAACAAAUUGAUGUAUCACUAAAUUAGCGCGAAAAAAAAUAUAAGAGGUACGAAAUUUAUUUUAGUACCCAAUGAACCUACAACUUAAAUUUGAGUGUAUAAAUGCUUUAUUCUAUGAUUGGAAGUUUGAGUGAGUUCAGUUCUGAUCACAGAUCAAGGGAUGUUUUUGGACCACAAGUUACUUAUAGAGAUACUCAUAUCACUCACUAACAUAAUCCUUACAUGGAGCGGGUAUUGAACACACAACCCUUAAAUUUGAUGAGGAAGCUAUAUGGCCAUCAGGCCAUCCAGCUUAUGUAGAAGCGGGUGAUUAUAUUACUGGCUUGUAUUAUAUUGUGAUUAUACUAUACUCUUAUUUCAUUGUUGAAUAAUUUGAUUAAUAUUAACUUUUUUCAAGAAAGGAAAACUGAUGUCAUUAGAUUGUAUUAUGAUGAACUGGUGAUCUACCUCAACUCACGCUCACUCUCGAGUGUGGAGUGAGAGAAGUGGAGUGUGAUUAACAGUGUGUAGGUUUUUCAAAGUAACAUAUUCGUAUAUUGCCGAUUUCCCUUGCAAUGCAACAUGAAAAGGACGGGAAAAAAAUAACAAAUUUUGUAACCUUAUUAAUCUUGCAUACAUAUUAACUGAUCAUUUAGAGGAUAAAAAACUGUUUCUAUAUAAUAUCUUUGCAUUUAUAAUUUUAUGAGUGCAUUAGUUAAUAUGAAUUUUCAAUUCAAUUCUAUUAGCAACAUGAAUUUUACCACAGUUAACCACAAACUAACUAUACUACUAAUACAUCCAUUCAUCAUUCAUCAUAUGCCCACCCAAUUGAUGAGAUUACAGUUCUGUUAAAAUAAUAUAUAAACAUCUGCCACAGAAAAAAAGCCUACUUCGACACGGGCAAUUAAAAUUAUACUGAAACAAAAGAAUUGCUGUCAUCAUAAUUCAAAAUUGCAUAAAAAUAGGUUACAUCUGAACAUGAUAUAGUACAUGAAUUUCAAAAUCCUUACACAAUCUUUUCUUCAUCCUAUAAGAAGUGUUGUAGACUGAUCAAGCCGCGGACAGCUAUAACUAAUCAAUUUUGACUGAGGAGUAGAUAAGCCUUGUGAACCAAAGGCAUGCAUAAAAUCCUAUAGUUCCGGUUACCACGAAAAACGCAUAAGAAGCUAUAAGCAUGUAACCGAAGUAAAAUAUUGCAGAUACCAACUUUGUGAUUUCCAGCUUGGUGAAGAAGUAGAAUGUUGCAUAAAGAAAGAGGUAAAGUGCAGAAGAACCAGAGGUGAGGUAUGACCGCCACCACCACGAGUAAUCCUCACUGCACAACUGGAAGUAGCAGAGCACAAUGGUUAUUUCAGCACAGGUAACAAUGAGGAUGAGGACGACCAAAAAUAGGAACCCAAAGAUGUAGUAAAACUGAUUUAACCAGAUUGAGGUAAGGAUGAAGAAAAGCUCAAUGAAAACAGCUCCGAAUGGGAGUAUUCCCCCAAUCAAAACUGAGAAGACUGGGUUCAUGUACCAGGCCUGCUCAGGUAUCUGCCUUGGGAUUUUGUUUGUCUUCACAGGACUCUCAAUCGCAGGCUUCUUAAAUCCAACAUAGCCACCCACAAAAACAAGUGGGACUGAGAUCCCAAACCAUAAAAAGACCAAAGCAAACAUAGUACCAAAUGGCACAGCUCCAGAUGAUUUUUGGCCCCAUAUGAGAGCAUUUAAUAUAAAGAAGAUGAGAGAGACAGUUGCAGGGAACAUGGUUGCAGUCCUGAGGGCAAUCUUUUUCCAGUCCGAUCCUUUGAACAUUUUGUACAGGCGAGCUGAGGAGUAACCAGCGAAAAGUCCCAUGAACACCCAAAGCAAGAGCAUGGCUGUCAUUAACCCACCUCGGUUUGAAGGAGAAAGGAACCCGAGGAUUGCAAACAUCAUGGUUACCAGUACCAUCCAAAAGAACUGAACGCCAGUCCCAACAUAAACACACAGCAAAUCUGAGUUGCUAGGCGGCCUAAAGACAUCCCCAUGGACAAGUUUCCAACCAGUCUCUUCUUGGGCUUCUUCCUGGGUUUCAAGCUCAUUAUAUUUUGCAAUGUCACGGUACAGGGUCCGCAGCAUAAUCAUUGCCACCAUGCCCGAAAGGAAGAGAACAAUCAUUAAGGAGUUAACAAUUGAGAACCAGUGGAUUUGGUCAUCAUUCAUGAGCAAAUAUGCAUCCCAUCUUGAAGCCCACUUCACAUCACUCUCCUGAAAGCAGCAGCCCAAGGUAAGAGAAAAUAAUAAGAAAUACAACCAACAACGUAUUUCAUCAUAAAAGCAAAACAAGGUGGAGGAUAAUACAGAAGACUCUACUUAGAUCGAAGAGAAAGAAAAGUUUGUUAAAAGAAUACCAAAUUAUAAAAAUGCCCCCAAUGCAAGAGGUUUUUUAUAAUUUAUAACCCCAAUAAUAAACCAGAAGUUCCACCUAAAACCGAAUGCCUUACUACUUGACACGUGUAUGACAACAACAAUUCUAAAGGAAAGGAAAGUACAAUUAUACCAUAUUAAGAUCUCCAUAAUCUCACCUGGAAAUCAACAUCAUAUGUGAAGAUAAUUUCCUUGUUCUCUUCAACCUCUUGAGGAGUGUUAGAGUUGAUAACGGUGUGUUUAGCAUGAGGGUCACAGGUUGUCAAACGAGUCUUUUUUUCUAACCAUUGACCUUGUUCAUAUUCGUGUUUGACACUGCACAUUAAAACUCAAAUUUGAAAAUUCAAUAUUAGAUAGUAAAUACUACAAAAAGAUGAACCAAGUAAAAAAGGCACAAGACUCCUACAAUCAUAGAAAGAUAAAAUGGAAUAAAUUAACACAGCAUUUGUAGCACAAAAUAAUGACCUGAACGGCUUGACUUCAAAACCCACGAUUCUAGCAGAUUCAGUUUGCACAUCUCUAUGAUACUUGACAGUAAAUGCCAAAUGGUUGUGAAUAAAAAACUUUUCCUCCUUGCUCUGUUCAUCCAGAUAUAGUAAGUAAAGGCACUACUUGGCAUUCAUAACAAUAGCAAUGGAGCUAAAAAAAUAGUAAUCAUACCC
rnacentral:lncRNA from 1 species